rnacentral:tRNA from 1 species
GCCGGGGUCUCCUAGUGGUAUGGAGCAAACCCCGUCAGCUUGUGACCCGUGAGGGUCGCGUGGGUUCGAAUCCCACCCCCGGCGCCA